UGUCACUCCCCUCAGUGGGUAAUGUCCUGCCAGAGGAGGAGAUCUAAGCCUGCCUCUAGUCUGGAACUCAGCUGGCUGCCUGGCUUUCUAGCAGAACUUCUCCUCCAGGAAGCCCACCGGCAUCUCGCAGAUGAAACUCAGUGAAUCUUCAUUGACACAAGCAUCAUCAUCAUCCUCAUCCCCAUCUUCCAGAUGAGAAGACUGAGGCACAGCGCAGUUUCAGGUACAACACAACGAUUCGAUAUUUGUAAAUCUUGAGAAACGAUCACCACGGAGACACCCCCUGGAAGGCCCUCCUGCGGGCCUGUUCCGGAGCCACCCUUCAGGAGGACCUUCCAGACAGAAACCAAGAUGCCCGCUUCACCCCCAUUAGGACGGCUGCUGUCAGAAAACCAGAAAAUAACAAGUAUUGGGGAGGAUGUGGAGAAACUGGGACCUCUGUGCUCUGUUGCUGGGAAUGUAAUGGUGCAGCCACUGGAAAACAGUAUGACAUUUCCCCUAAAAAUUAAAAAUGGAAUUACCGUAUAAUCCAGCAAUUCCGCUGUGGGUAUACACCCCAAAGAAGUGAAAGCAGGGGCUCAGCCAGUUAUUUAUACACCCUUGUUCACAGCAGCGCUGUUCACAACGGCCAAAAGGUAGAAGCAACCCAGGUGCCCAUCGACUGAUGAGUGGAUAAAUACAACGUGGUAUAAGCAUACGACAGAAUAUCAUUCAGCCUUAAAAAGGAAGGAAAUUCUGACACAAGCUACAAUGUGAAUGAACCUUGAGGACAUUAUGCUGAGUGAAACAAGCCAGUCUCAAAAGGAUCAAUACUGUAUGAUUCCACUUAUGUGAGGCCCCUCGAGCAGCCAAAUGCACAGAGACAGAAAGUUGAAGGGUGGCUGCCAGCGGCUGGGGAGAGAGGGGAGUAGGAGUUAUUAUUUCAUGGGCAUGGAGUUCCAGUUUUGCCAGCUGAAAAGAGUUCUGGAGACGGAUGGUGGGGAUGGUUGCACAGCAAAAUGAAUGUAUUUAAUAGCACCGAACUGUGCACUUAACAAUGGUUAAGAUAUUAGGUGUAUUUUGCCACGAUUAAAAAUUGAAAACAAAAAAAGGAAAAGAUGCCCCUGCCUCUUCUCUGGGGCCCAGAAAGGAGGUCUCAUUUAAUGACAGGAAGGACCCCCAGCAGUCCUGGGGCCCCGUCCAAUUCCCUCUGGACAUUAACAGUCUGAGGCAGGCCUCUGUGACCCUAAGAGAAGCCAUCUGAGACUUUAGUGUUGCCCUUUGGCCCCAGAACAGCAU